rnacentral:rRNA from 2 species
ACGGGAGGCAGCAGUGGGGAAUAUUGCACAAUGGGGGAAACCCUGAUGCAGCGACGCCGCGUGAGUGAAGAAGUAUUUCGGUAUGUAAAGCUCUAUCAGCAGGGAAGAAAAUGACGGUACCUGCAUAAGAAGCCCCGGCUAACUACGUGCCAGCAGCCGCGGUAAUACGUAGGGGGCAAGCGUUAUCCGGAUUUACUGGGUGUAAAGGGAGCGUAGACGGCUUUGCAAGUCUGAAGUGAAAACCCAAGGCUCAACCAUGGGAUUGCUUUGGAAACUGCAGCGCUUGAGUGUCGGAGGGGUAAGCGGAAUUCCUAGUGUAGCGGUGAAAUGCGUAGAUAUUAGGAAGAACACCGGUGGCGAAGGCGGCUUACUGGACGAUAACUGACGUUGAGGCUCGAAAGCGUGGGGAGCAAACAGGAUUAGAUACCCUGGUA